AUGGCCCCUUUUCCUGACAAGAACAGAUAACCUAUGCAAGAAGCAUGAACCUAUAAAGGCAGCAUCCUUAGAUGUUGUACCCCAAAGGCACAAAUAUUUGGUUGAACCUCUAGAGGAGAGCACAGCACAUACCGCAGUGCAACUGCAACUUUGGGAGAGAUGCAGACACAGAAGUCGCUUAUGCCCUGUCCAAACUUCUUACCCACAGAAAUUACAAGGAAGCAACUGUCUAUUUCUUAAAGGUCACUGGAAGAAGAGAAUAGUGACUUCACACUUAUCAAGGCAUCUAGCUCUAAGUCUAAUCCAGUCAUUCCUUAAAGUCUGCAUAGAUCCUACAUGGAGAGUGCUAAACCAAGUCUGUCUUAAGCAUGGCAAAAAGGAAAGACCAUUUCAUGUUGCAAACCAGCAAACGUUUUAGCAAACAAAGGGGAAAACUGAAUGUCAGAAAGGGAAUACAAAUCUUCUUGUUUAGUAAUUCUUUUUUACCAACAGCGUGGUUUUAUCUUGAGACUCUCAUUCAGUGUCACAUAGCUUGCUAUGUUGUUGUCCCAAGUACAAGUUCAAAAACCGAAACAGAACCAAUACAAAGGAAACACUAGAAGAGUACAAUAGACCUUCUGUUUUCGUCUAUACUUCAUCACUGUCUUAACGGUCUCCCCCCAAGAUCGAAGAGGGCAGAAAUGUGACAAUUUUCGAAGAAAUAUCUCAGCCUUCUCUUACUCUCACUUAUAAGUGCAGAGUCCCUUUCCUGUCUUUUUCCUGGGUUGCUAUGCUUUCUUGUAUUGUGCUAGAAACUCUCACCUCUCUGAUCCUUCUCAAAUCCAAAGCAAGCAAGGAAAAUAGAAGACGGAGAAAGAGAUUAAAAGGAGGAAUGGACAUUAGACAAAAAAAUAAAAUAACUGA